rnacentral:misc_RNA from 1 species
UCAGACCACACCCAGACUCUCUAAACCAGAG